UACGUAGGGGGCAAGCGUUGUCCGGAUUUAUUGGGCGUAAAGCGCGCGUAGGCGGCUCGGAAAGUCGGGCGUGAAAUGCCGGGGCUCAACCCCGGGACUGCGUCCGAUACUGGUGGGCUUGAAUCCGGGAGAGGGAUGCGGAAUUCCAGGUGUAGCGGUGAAAUGCGUAGAUAUCUGGAGGAACACCGGUGGCGAAGGCGGCAUCCUGGACCGGCAUUGACGCUGAGGAGCGAAAGCGUGGGGAGCGAACAGG
rnacentral:rRNA from 1 species